GUCAUGAUGGCCGAGCGGUCCGAGGUGCUGCUGUUCAGGUCGUAGUCCAGUUCUCUGGGCGAGGGUUCGAAUCCCUCUUCUGACA
rnacentral:tRNA from 1 species